rnacentral:rRNA from 1 species
GAUGAACGCUGGCGGCGUGCCUAAUACAUGCAAGUCGAGCGAACGGACGAGAAGCUUGCUUCUCUGAUGUUAGCGGCGGACGGGUGAGUAACACGUGGAUAACCUACCUAUAAGACUGGGAUAACUUCGGGAAACCGGAGCUAAUACCGGAUGAUAUUUUGAACCGCAUGGUUCAAAAGUGAAAGACGGUCUUGCUGUCACUUAUAGAUGGAUCCGCGCUGCAUUAGCUAGUUGGUAAGGUAACGGCUUACCAAGGCAACGAUGCAUAGCCGACCUGAGAGGGUGAUCGGCCACACUGGAGCUGAGACACGGUCCAGACUCCUACGGGAGGCAGCAGAAGGGAAUCUUCCGCAAUGGGCGAAAGCCUGACGGAGCAACGCCGCGUGAGUGAUGAAGGUCUUCGGAUCGUAAAACUCUGUUAUUAGGGAAGAACAUAUGUGUAAGUAACUGUGCACAGCUUGACGGUACCUAAUCAGAAAGCCACGGCUAACUACGUG